AUUGAACGCUGGCGGCAGGCCUAACACAUGCAAGUCGAACGAGUGGCGGACGGGUGAGUAACGUCUGGGAAACUGCCUGAUGGAGGGGGAUAACUACUGGAAACGGUAGCUAAAACCGACUACCAUCAGAUGUGCCUAGAUGGGAUGAGCUUGUUGGUGGGGUAACGGGUCACCAAGGCGACGACCCCUAGCUGGUCUGAGAGGAUGACCAGCCACACUGGAACUGAGACACGGUCCAGACUCCUACGGGAGGCAGCAGUGGGGAAUAUUGCACAAUGGGCGCAAGCCUGAAACAGCGAUGCCGCGUGUAUGAAGAAGGCCUUCGGGUUGUAAAGUACUGUCAGCGGGGAGGCGUUACCCGCAGAAGAAGCACCGGCUAACUACGUGCCAGCAGCCGCGGUAAUAC
rnacentral:rRNA from 1 species